rnacentral:rRNA from 1 species
UACGUAGGGUCCGAGCGUUGUCCGGAAUUACUGGGCGUAAAGAGCUCGUAGGUGGUUUGUCGCGUUGUUCGUGAAAACUCACAGCUCAACUGUGGGCGUGCGGGCGAUACGGGCAGACUAGAGUACUGCAGGGGAGACUGGAAUUCCUGGUGUAGCGGUGGAAUGCGCAGAUAUCAGGAGGAACACCGGUGGCGAAGGCGGGUCUCUGGGCUGUAACUGACGCUGAGGAGCGAAAGCGUGGGGAGCAAACAGG